rnacentral:lncRNA from 10 species
CUUUAUUCACCCGCAGGUACCCCCAGAUCGAUCCCCCUUCAUUGACUCCGAGGGGAUACAGCAGCAAUUCAUGUUUUGAAGUGUUCUAAAUGGUUCAAAACGUGAGGCGCUGCUAUACCCCCUCGUGGGGAAGGUAGAAGGUGGGGUCUGCCGGACGCGUGUUCCUGCCACCAGGUGCCCGCUCCCCGCGAGGCCGGCUCAGGAGCAGAAGGAAGCCCGGUGCCAGCCAGCCUUCCUGAAAGACCAAGCCCGCGCCAUCCGGCUUCCUCCAGUGGACGCCUGCAGGACCCAGGAAUGUUUUUCUUGAAGGCAUCCAGCAUCUCCAGUUAGCAGUACUGAUUUUUUUUCCCCCCAACAAAGGAACACUACAUCAACACUGUUGGCGGGGACCUGGACACAGAAGACUCCUGUUUCAAGAAAAUACAAUCAUCUCUCAAAGGCUGUAAUUUAUAUGCAUUUUAAAACUCUAGGCAUUGAAAACCACCCAAGUGUCCCAAAUAGAAGGGUAAUAUAUAAUCAAUCACUCAGUGUAAUAUUAUACAUCCUUUAAAAAUGUUAUUGGGAAAUGUUUUAUGAUCUGUAAGUCCAAGGAAUCCUCUCCCACCAUUUCUUUCCCCCCGCUGUUCCCCCAUACCCACACUUCUUUGUUCCAAUUGGCAUGUAAAUUUGGUUUUCCCGCCAAAUGAGUCAGUCAUGAUGGGAACCUCAACUGAUUUGAACAGAUGUGUGUCAAUGUUACUUGGAAAACUAGAUGUCAAUAACCAGGGUCACAGAAAAAGGCAGUGGUCACAACUCUGUAAAAAUGUAUGCAUGCACACAGACAAGAACUAAAGUGGAACCCCAC